GUCGGGGUGGCGAAACCGGUAGACGCGCGACACUUAAGAUGUCGUGACCGCAAGGUCGUGUGGGUUCGAGUCCCACCCCCGGCA
rnacentral:tRNA from 1 species